AUCUUGCGUGAGCGAUUGAAGUGGAAAUCCUUUUUUUCAAAGGGAUAAGCAAAGGCCAAAAAAAGAUUAUAACGGAAAGCGCGGUCUUUU
rnacentral:sRNA from 1 species